rnacentral:misc_RNA from 1 species
GAUGAAGAACGUAGUGAAAUGCGAUAAGUAAUGUGAAUUGCAGAAUUCAGUGAAUCAUCGAAUCUUUGAACGCACAUUGCGCCCGCUAGUAUUCUGGCGGGCAUGCCUGUCCGAGCGUCAUUUCAACCCUCAAGCCCCCGGGCUUGGUGUUGGGGAUCGGCGAGCCUCCGCGCCCGCCGUCCCCUAAAUCUAGUGGCGGUCUCGCUGUAGCUUCCUCUGCGUAGUAGCACACCUCGCACUGGGAAACAGCGCGGCCACGCCGUUAAACCCCCAACUUCUGAAUGUUGACCUCGGAUCAGGUAGGAAUACCCGCUGAACUUAAGCAUAUCAAUAAGCGGAGGA